GCGAACUUAAGAAGGGACCCUUUCCAGUGGAACGCGACUUCACUCUUUCCGAUUCACUCAACGCUUUUUUGGAGACAGUACGUUCACGUGAGAAUCAAAAAGAAGCGAGUCUGCGUUCCAGAAAAUCACGUGGCCAAUCUUUCUCUCUCUCUCUCUCUCUCUUCCUCCUCCCUCCCUCUCUCUCUCUCUCUCUCUCUCUCUCGCUCUCUCGCUCUCUCGCUCUCUCAUCUUUUACAACCCUCUCCAGCCUGGCUGUGUGUACGAACUUUCAUACAGUCAUCGUGGGCGCUGCGGCGUGUUGAGAUGUGCCGGUCCUUGCACACUUUGGGGAAAUCCGUGGGUGGGGGAGACUGAAAAUGGCUGAGAACAGGACGACCAAAGAAAGCAGCUCCGUCGACCCGUUUCUUCCUGCCAGCUUACCCCCCUCCCCGCUUCCUGUUCUUUGGACCUCGCAGACUCCUCCUCUCCCAGCCAAACGACUGACUGACUAAAUGUUAAUCCACUUCGAAGCCCUGAUUGGCUGUGCAUACCAUAUUUGCAUUCCAAAGAAAAAGAAUUAUAUGUGCAACAGCUAUUCAGGUUAAGAGUGGAGAAAUGUUCUUGAGACUCUAGAUCCUUCUAAACUCAUCUCCUCCCCACACCUCUUCACCCUCCCACUCGGGCUGUUGUUUGCACCCUCUCACCCCCGCCUCCCAUUGCCCAUCCAGACAAACCAGGCGAGGAGGAAGUUUGUGGGGUCCGGGGCCCAGAGUCACUGAGGUCUACCUCAGUGAAUAUUCUAGAAGGGCAGCAUUGUAGUUCUUCAAGUGUUUUAUGUCCUUGAAAACCCCUCCAGGGCUGGGACCCAGCCUCUGCCUUCUUUUGUAUAAGGACAUUCAUUAAAUACCUGUUCCUCCGUGGAGAAAUUUUUUAAAUACCCUAUAACAGAAAACAGAAAAUACACUUUGAGAAAGUCAUUUUAGGUUUAAUU
rnacentral:lncRNA from 1 species